rnacentral:rRNA from 1 species
GAUGAACGCUGGCGGCGUGCUUAACACAUGCAAGUCGAACGAAGCACUUUAACCUGAUUCUUCGGAUGAAGGUUUUUGUGACUGAGUGGCGGACGGGUGAGUAACGCGUGGGUAACCUGCCUCAUACAGGGGGAUAACAGUUAGAAAUGACUGCUAAUACCGCAUAAGACCACAGAGCCGCAUGGCUCGGUGGGAAAAACUCCGGUGGUAUGAGAUGGACCCGCGUCUGAUUAGGUAGUUGGUGGGGUAACGGCCUACCAAGCCAACGAUCAGUAGCCGACCUGAGAGGGUGACCGGCCACAUUGGGACUGAGACACGGCCCAAACUCCUACGGGAGGCAGCAGUGGGGAAUAUUGCACAAUGGGGGAAACCCUGAUGCAGCGACGCCGCGUGAACGAAGAAGUAUUUCGGUAUGUAAAGCUCUAUCAGCAGGGAAGAAAAUGACGGUACCUGACUAAGAAGCACCGGCUAAAUACGUG